UCUUUAGGAAGCCACAUAUUUCUGCUAUAAUACAAAGUCAGGCUCAAACGAAGUUGCUGAAGAAGAUGGACUUGGCUUCUUCGUGGGCAGAACCUUCUGAGGGCCAGCACUGGCUGCUCUCUUUAAAUACAGGUUAUCAGCCAGGAAUGACACAUUCUCUUCAAGUAUGAAAAAAAUUACAUACAGGAACAGAGGAGGAAAUGCACUGAGGUCUUUUUGUGGUGAGGAAAAAAAAAAGUUUCUAUAAAAAGU